rnacentral:rRNA from 1 species
GAUGAACGCUAGCGGGAGGCCUAACACAUGCAAGCCGAGCGGUAGAGUUCCUUCGGGAACUUGAGAGCGGCGUACGGGUGCGUAACACGUGUGCAACCUACCUUUAUCUGGGGGAUAGCCUUUCGAAAGGAAGAUUAAUACCCCAUAAUAUAUUGAAUGGCAUCAUUUAAUAUUGAAAACUCCGGUGGAUAGAGAUGGGCACGCGCAAGAUUAGAUAGUUGGUGAGGUAACGGCUCACCAAGUCUGUGAUCUUUAGGGGUCCUGAGAGGGAGAUCCCCCACACUGGUACUGAGACACGGACCAGACUCCUACGGGAGGCAGCAGUGAGGAAUAUUGGACAAUGGGUGAAAGCCUGAUCCAGCCAUCCCGCGUGAAGGAUGACGGUCCUAUGGAUUGUAAACUUCUUUUGUACAGGGAUAAACCUACCCUCGUGAGGGUAGCUGAAGGUACUGUACGAAUAAGCACCGGCUAACUCCGUG